rnacentral:lncRNA from 7 species
AUGUGCCUCUGUUCCUAUUCAAAGUUAUCUCCAAGGAAUGAAACCUUUCAUGGAUGUUGUGGUAAGAUGGAAGCUGGGAAAUGCUGUAGAGAAAGCUCUUACAAUAACAGAAGCUUGGAAACGCUGAAUAUCUUUUCCAACACCGACUAUUCUAGCCAAACAUGUUUUUAUCAUGGUCAUUCACUCACAUGAAACAGCUUAAAUAUGGGAAAAACCUUCACUGUCCUUCCAACAUUCAAAACAUUCAAAAUGUGUUCGGACACAUAGGCUUCUUCCAGUCAAUAAAUAAUCUCACUGGAUCUGCUCUCCCACUCUGCUCUCGUUCUCUCUCUGCCAUUUGGUCUCGUUCUGCUGCAGCUCCCACCCUCCCUUUGCUCUUCCUCCUGCUUUCCGCUCGGUCUCGCUCCCCCUCCUCUGCCCUUGUGCGCUGUGAUAUAUAUUUUUGUAGGAUUUCUCU